rnacentral:lncRNA from 1 species
GAUCAACUCAUGCAUACAAUGCUCAAUCUCCAUUGUUCUACCCUUUUCCCAAACAUAUAUGAUACACAUUCAUUUCCCUAUUCCAAACCCAACUCACAUCUCUCACCCAAGGACUUCAAAAGCAUUUCCCAACAUAAAACUCUCUUUUUUUUUUUUUUUUUUUUUUUACAAGGGAUUUCUUACACUCUUUUGAACACCUCUUAGCUCAUACUAGUUUUGCUAGCCCCCUUUCUUUAUUCUUUCUCUUUUUCUUUUUUUUUUUUUUAAUAUGUUUGGGGGCCAAGACUUUUCACAAAUUGAGCUAUAAGUUUCUCUACUUAUCCCAUAAAGACUAGUCAAUUAAGCACAAGA